UUUACAUUGAGGAGAAUCUUAAUUGAUGUUAUAAAAGUAUCUUAGGAUUGAUUUUAAUGUUUUUAUUUUUUUAGUACUCUAAUGAAUAUAAUUUUUUUUAAUACUGUGAAGGUUUACUGAAAUAGAUUACUCAAAGUUUAAUUUAAGUGGUGUUGUACCUUUUGUAUCAGGGUUAUUUUAAUUAAUAAAUUAUUUUAUCUUCCCGAAAAAUUAAGGGCUAACAAUUUUUUGGGUGUUUGUUGAAUAAAGGCUUAAAAUUAUUUUUAGAGGAGAAAUUCCAUACGGUUAAUUUUAUAUCUGGUUAAUUAAGUGAAAAUUUAGUUUUGCUAUCAUUUUUUAUUAGGUAUUUAAAUUUUAUGAAUUUAGGGUGGAUAUUUACAAGGGGGUUAUCUUUUGUAUUAAUUUUGUUAUAAUUUUUUAUUUCUUAUUAAAAUUUCUUUAGGCUUAAAAACUGCCAGUGUGAGUAAGUUUUAUUAACUAUUUUUAUUUAUUGGAUUUAUUUAAAAUUUAAUUUAUUAAUUUAAAGGGGUUAAAUUUAGGCGCCUUUGUUUUAAUGAUUAAAUUAGUAGAUACGGGGUUUAUUGAGACAUAAAAUAAAUUAAUUUUCAUGAAUUUUACAAUAAAAACUUCGAAUGUUUACCAAAAACAUUUCCCUUGGGUCCUAUAGAGGGUAUGGCCUGCCCACUGAAUUUUUAAGGGCCGCGGUAUUUUGACCGUGCAAAGGUAGCGUAAUCAUUAGUCUCUUAAUUAGGGAAUUGUAUGAAUGGUUUUACGGGGUUUUGUUUUAUUAAUUUUAUUAAUUGAACUUAAAUUUUAAGUGAAAAUUCUUAAAUUCCUUUAAAGACGAUAAGACCCUAUAGAGUUUUAUACUAGGGGGCCUGGUUAAAAUUGGUUUAAUUUGGUUGGGUUCUUUUUUGUUUAAUUGGGGCAAUUAAAGAAUACAAAAAACUUCUUUUUUAUUUAAUUUAUCUAAUUGGUUAACUUAAACUUUAAAUUUAGUAAAUAAUUACCUUAGGGAUAACAGCGUAAUUAAAAUUGAGAGUUCUUAUCGACAUUUUAGAUUGCGACCUCGAUGUUGAAUUAAAAAUUCUUUUUAGUGCAGUAAUUACAAUAGAUAGUCUGUUCGACUAUUAAAUUUUUACAUGAUUUGAGUUCAAACCGGCGUGAGCCAGGUUGGUUUCUAUCUUAAAGGAUAAAAAAAUUUUUUUAGUACGAAAGGACCAUUCUAUUUUAUUUUUAAUU
rnacentral:rRNA from 1 species